UUGCCAGCCGCCGCGGUAAUACAGAGGGUGCAAGCGUUGCUCGGAUUUACUGGGCGUAAAGCGUACGCAGACGGCCACGCAGGUCGGGUGUGAAAUCCCACGGCUCAACCGUGGAACCGCGCUCUGAACUGGCGAGCUGGAGUCUGCUAGAGGUGCAUGGAACAUCAAGUGGAGCGGUGAAAUGUGUUGAUAUUUGAUGGAACACCGGAGGCGAAAGCGAUGCACUGGGGCAGCACUGACGCUGAGGCACGAAAGCUAGGGGAGCAAACAGGAUUAGAUACCCUGGUAGUCCUAGCCGUAAACGAUGAGUACUGAACGGGGGAAGGCUUGCCUUUCCCGGUUGUAGCGAAAGCGUGAAGUACUCCGCCUGGGGAGUAUGGUCGCAAGGCUGAAACUCAAAUGAAUUGACGG
rnacentral:rRNA from 1 species